CCUCGUCCUUUCGGCCGGAACCGCCAUCUUCCAGUAAUUUGCCAAAAUGACGAACACAAAGGGAAAGAGGAGAGGCACCCGAUAUAUGUUCUCUAGGCCUUUUAGAAAACAUGGAGUUGUUCCUUUGGCCACGUAUAUGCGAAUCUAUAAGAAAGGUGAUAUCGUAGACAUCAAGGGAAUGGGUACCGUUCAAAAAGGAAUGCCCCACAAGUGUUACCAUGGCAAAACUGGGAGAAUCUACAACGUUACCCAGCAUGCUGUUGGCAUUGUUGUAAACAAACAAGUUAAGGGCAAGAUUCUUGCCAAGAGAAUUAAUGUACGUAUUGAGCACAUUAAGCAUUCUAAGAGCAGAGAUAGCUUCCUGAAACGCGUGAAGGAAAAUGAUCAGAAAAAGAAAGAAGCCAAAGAGAAAGGUACCUGGGUUCAACUGAAGCGCCAGCCUGCUCCACCCAGAGAAGCACACUUUGUGAGAACCAAUGGGAAGGAGCCUGAGCUGCUGGAACCUAUUCCCUAUGAAUUCAUGGCAUAAUAGGUGUUAAAAAAAAUAAUAAAAGACCUCUGGGCUGAAAAAUGUUUCUCUUCAUUGAGUAGAAGUGUGGUGUCCUCUCCCCCAAAGAAAUACUUAAAGCAAAUUUUAGUUGUGUCCUAAUUCAUUAUGUAAUGUCUUUCCUAUUCAAAUUUAAUGUAUUCCUUGCUGAAGGAUGUAAGGUAGCUUAUUGUGCAACAGAUUACUCAGUUGGUUAGAAAAUGGCCAGGUAUUAUGUAUGAAAUAUUUGUACUGGUUUGAAGAUAGUCUUAAAUCAUCAAGGAAGAAAUAAAGUAAUUUUUUUUUUCA